GAAGGUAUACCUCAAGUGGUAGAGCAUGUGCUUAGCAUGCACGAGGUCCUGGAUUCAAUCUCUAGUAUCUUCU
rnacentral:tRNA from 1 species